AACGCGAAGAACCUUACCAGCCCUUGACAUGUCCCGUAUGGGGCCGAGAGAUCGGCUUCUUCAGUUCGGCUGGCGGGAACACAGGUGCUGCAUGGCUGUCGUCAGCUCGUGUCGUGAGAUGUUGGGUUAAGUCCCGCAACGAGCGCAACCCUCACCUUCAGUUGCCAUCGGGUAAAGCCGGGCACUCUGGAGGAACUGCCGGUGACAAGCCGGAGGAAGGCGGGGAUGACGUCAAGUCCUCAUGGCCUUUAUGGGCUGGGCUACACACGUGCUACAAUGGCGGUGACAGAGGGAGGCAGAGGGGCGACCCCGAGCCAAUCUCGAAAAGCCGUCUCAGUUCGGAUUGUUCUCUGCAACUCGAGAGCAUGAAGCUGGAAUCGCUAGUAAUCGCGGAUCAGCACGCCGCGGUGAAUACGUUCCCGGGCCUUGUA
rnacentral:rRNA from 1 species